CUUGGCACCUCACAUAAGCAUUUGGGGUGUGCCAGAGGCUCUGUGUAUCCAGACUUGCUAAUGCACUGGUGUAGCUGUUUCUACUUAUCAGUCACUUUGCACAUGUGAGAUCAUUGUUCUGAAGUUGUGGCAACAAUUGCUGCAAAAAUAUGGAUUGGACCAACUCUAGGGCCAUUAUGGAGCAAAUCAGCAUGCAAGUCUAAAGGCAAGAAAAUAGAUACAGAAACAGAUAAGCAAAAGGCAAAUAACAGAGGAGGUCAGAAGGAAGACCAAGCAUCUCUCUGUCUACAACUCUGCUAUGUUGGAAACUUCCUAAUAAAUAUUGCAAUAUUUGCCAUUUUGAGGCUUCAUUCUUCAAGGAGGAUAUUGGACAUGAACUUGUCUGAGGGAUAGUGUUUCGCAAUAGACUUGGUGGCUAAGACUGAUCCUCGACUUGUGCAUGGAUGGGAAAGGCUCUUGGAUGGGACGUGCCAUUGGCCAGAUACACAUAGGAUAAUAUUUGGGUAAAAUUUAUCCAAUAAAUGUUUACUAUAUCAGUAGGAAGAUUCAGUAAAACAUUCAUCCUAUACUGUUAGUCUAUAUGCAGGUCAUUAGUCAAGUCCAAUACCGUAUACAAAAAAAUCCGUAUGUCUCUUGUACUCUACAAUUCUCUCCAGUUUCCUUCCGAUAAAUGAAUUAAUGUUUAUAUUUCAGUGGACAAAAUUGGGUUUAACUGAUAGUUCAAGAUGUUGGAAGAGUAACUAUGUAGAUUCAGGGUAAUAAAACAACAAUAAUAAUAAUAGUAAUAAUAAAUAUCAUCUCAGUACAAGUGCCAGCAUAUUUGGGGACUUUAUGAUUAUUAAAAUAUUAUUAGGAUGGAUAGGUCGUUGUCUUGCCUGAGGAUAAGAGCAGCAUUUCUAGAACUCACGUACAGCUGUGGUAGUGGUUAAUUAUGACAUCACUCUAAAACAAUGAAACUAAAUAAAGUCAUUUUCUCACACUAAGCAAUAUUAGCAUUUAUCUUCACCCGUGUUAUAUUUUGGUGUCUGUUUCUCAUAUAUUUAAGCCUAAACCAUAGAUACUGAUUGAUUCUACCAAAAUCCGAAGUGUUAUUUUUUAAUCCGUAUACCACAGAAACUUUAGAAAGAUAAAGGUAUUUUAUAUGUGGAUUAGUAUGCAAUAAUCUUUACACAUUACAAAAAUUCUUUUAGUUUUUUUUUUAAGGUAUGGCAAAACUUCAUGGUGUGUGUGUGUGUGUGUGUGUGUUUAUUUGCCCUUUGAAGUAAUUUAUUAGACACUUCUGUAGAUCCUGAGGCUAAAGAGGUGAAAAGGCUGGUUAAAUGUUCUAUCUUCAUGGAAUUGAUACACCAAUGUAGGGAGAUAUAUAAUAUAAACAUGCCUACCUAAAGAAGCAAACAAACAGGGCUACUUCAUUCACAUAGUCAUGACUGUGAUAAAAGGGAAGAAUGAAAACAAAGUAAGGACUCGGGAUCCACAGCUGAAAAACUAUGUCUUCUUGUAAAGAGGGGGAAGAUGGGAGUGGUUGCUUGAGCUAGAUUCUAAAUGACAAGAAGGAAGUAGACAAGUGGAGGUUGAGGGUACAAUGUAUGUCAUACACCUAGCAUACAGGUGUUUAUUGAGCUAACUGAAAUUUUGAGCUAAACUGAAUGAUAUAACCAAAUAAUCAGGUAAUAUGACAUAAG
ensembl:lncRNA